UGGGGAAUAUUGCACAAUGGGCGAAAGCCUGAUGCAGCCAUGCCGCGUGUGUGAAGAAGGCUCUAGGGUUGUAAAGCACUUUCAGCAAGGAGGAAAGGUUGUAAGUUAAUACCUUGCAACUGUGACGUUACUUGCAGAAGAAGCACCGGCUAACUCCGUGCCAGCAGCCGCGGUAAUACGGAGGGUGCAAGCGUUAAUCGGAAUUACUGGGCGUAAAGCGCGCGUAGGCGGUCUGUUAAGCUGGAUGUGAAAGCCCAGGGCUCAACCUUGGAACUGCAUUCAGAACUGGCAGACUAGAGUAUUGGAGAGGUAAGUGGAAUUUCCCGUGUAGCAGUGAAAUGCGUAGAUAU
rnacentral:rRNA from 1 species